rnacentral:rRNA from 1 species
UACGAAGGGGCUAGCGUUGCUCGGAAUCACUGGGCGUAAAGCGCACGUAGGCGGUUUCUUAAGUCAGGGGUGAAAUCCUGGAGCUCAACUCCAGAACUGCCUUUGAUACUGGGAGACUUGGAGUCCGGGAGAGGUGAGUGGAACUGCGAGUGUAGAGGUGAAAUUCGUAGAUAUUCGCAAGAACACCAGUGGCGAAGGCGGCUCACUGGCCCGGUACUGACGCUGAGGUGCGAAAGCGUGGGGAGCAAACAGG